rfam:Sarcophilus harrisii ctg7180001547607, whole genome shotgun sequence.
GAUAACAGCACAAUCCUAUUUGAGAGCCCAUAUCGAAAAUUAGGGUUUACGACCUUGAUAUUGGAUCAGGACACCCAAAUGUUGCAACUGCUAUUAAAGGUUCAUUUGUUCAACGAUUAAAGUCCUAUGUGAUCUGAGUUCAGACCGGAGAAAUUCAGGUC